ensembl:snRNA U6 U6 spliceosomal RNA
GUGCUCACUUUGCUAACAUAUAUACUAAAAAUUGGAACGAUACAGAGAAGAUUAGGUUGGCCCCUGAGCACGGAUGACAAGCACAUUCUCAAAGGAUUCCAUAUUUGG